rnacentral:rRNA from 1 species
UACGUAGGGUGCAAGCGUUGUCCGGAAUUAUUGGGCGUAAAGAGCUCGUAGGCGGUUUGUCGCGUCUGCUGUGAAAUCCUCAGGCUCAACUUGGGGCGUGCAGUGGGUACGGGCAGACUAGAGUGCGGUAGGGGAGACUGGAAUUCCUGGUGUAGCGGUGGAAUGCGCAGAUAUCAGGAGGAACACCGAUGGCGAAGGCAGGUCUCUGGGCCGUUACUGACGCUGAGGAGCGAAAGCAUGGGGAGCGAACAGG